UACGUAGGUGACCAGCGUUGUCCGGAUUUACUGGGCGUAAAGAGCGCGCAGGCGGUCGUUCAAGUCGAGUGUGAAAGCCCCCGGCUCAACUGGGGAGGGUCACUCGAUACUGAUCGACUUGAAGGCAGGAGAGGGAAGCGGAAUUCCCGGUGUAGUGGUGGAAUGCGUAGAGAUGCGGCGGAACACCGAUGGCGAAGGCAGCCCCCUGGGCUGAGAUUGACGCUCAGGCACGAAAGCGUGGGGAGCAAACAGG
rnacentral:rRNA from 1 species